AAAAAACUACUAAUUGUAAGUCAUUGUGGAUUUCAUAAUAGCUUGACAGAAUGAAGGAAUAGUUCAUAAUACAUACAAACACACAUGUGUACAUGUUCAACCAACAGUAUCGUAUUUAUAACAUUCCACACUACUUUCUUCUACAGCAUCAUAAUCAAGAUGUGAACCUAAAUUUUCUUCCUAUUUGCGAUCAUGAACUCUGA
rnacentral:lncRNA from 1 species